rnacentral:rRNA from 1 species
CGGCGUGCUUAACACAUGCAAGUCGAGCGAUGAAGUUUCCUUCGGGAAACGGAUUAGCGGCGGACGGGUGAGUAACACGUGGGUAACCUGCCUCAUAGAGUGGAAUAGCCUUCCGAAAGGAAGAUUAAUACCGCAUAAUGUUGAAAGAUGGCAUCAUCAUUCAACCAAAGGAGCAAUCCGCUAUGAGAUGGACCCGCGGCGCAUUAGCUAGUUGGUGGGGUAACGGCCUACCAAGGCGACGAUGCGUAGCCGACCUGAGAGGGUGAUCGGCCACAUUGGGACUGAGACACGGCCCAGACUCCUACGGGAGGCAGCAGUGGGGAAUAUUGCACAAUGGGGGAAACCCUGAUGCAGCAACGCCGCGUGAGUGAUGAAGGUUUUCGGAUCGUAAAGCUCUGUCUUUGGGGAAGAUAAUGACGGUACCCAAGGAGGAAGCCACGGCUAACUACGUGCCAGCAGCCGCGGUAAUACGUAGGUGGCGAGCGUUAUCCGGAUUUACUGGGCGUAAAGGGAGCGUAGGCGGAUGAUUAAGUGGGAUGUGAAAUACCCGGGCUCAACUUGGGUGCUGCAUUCCAAACUGGUUAUCUAGAGUGCAGGAGAGGAGAGUGGAAUUCCUAGUGUAGCGGUGAAAUGCGUAGAGAUUAGGAAGAACACCAGUGGCGAAGGCGACUCUCUGGACUGUAACUGACGCUGAGGCUCGAAAGCGUGGGGAGCAAACAGGAUUAGAUACCCUGGUAGUCCACGCCGUAAACGAUGAACACUAGGUGUGGGGGUUUCAACACCUCCGUGCCGCCGCUAACGCAUUAAGUAUUCCGCCUGGGGAGUACGGUCGCAAGAUUAAAACUCAAAGGAAUUGACGGGGACCCGCACAAGUAGCGGAGCAUGUGGUUUAAUUCGAAGCAACGCGAAGAACCUUACCUACACUUGACAUCCCUUGCAUUACUCUUAAUCGAGGAAAUCCCUUCGGGGACAAGGUGACAGGUGGUGCAUGGUUGUCGUCAGCUCGUGUCGUGAGAUGUUGGGUUAAGUCCCGCAACGAGCGCAACCCUUGUCGUUAGUUACUACCAUUAAGUUGAGGACUCUAGCGAGACUGCCUGGGUUAACCAGGAGGAAGGUGGGGAUGACGUCAAAUCAUCAUGCCCCUUAUGUGUAGGGCUACACACGUGCUACAAUGGCUGGUACAGAGAGGUGCAAUACCGCGAGGUGGAGCCAAACUUAAAAACCAGUCUCAGUUCGGAUUGUAGGCUGAAACUCGCCUACAUGAAGCUGGAGUUACUAGUAAUCGCGAAUCAGAAUGUCGCGGUGAAUACGUUCCCGGGUCUUGUACACACCGCCCGUCACACCAUGAGAGUUGGAAAUACCCGAAGUCCGUGAGCUAACCGCAAGGAGGCAGCGGCCGAAGGUAGGGUCAGCGAUUGGGGUGAAGUCAUAACA